rnacentral:lncRNA from 1 species
CCCAAAAGCUCCUUCCCCUAGUAACAAUCCACCCUAUGUUCCUACACCUCCAAAAACACCUUCUCCUUCUUAUAAUCCUCCUAAUGUUCCCACUCCUCCCAAAACACCUUCACCUAUUUACACUCCACCAAAUGUUCCUACUCCUCCAAAAACACCAUCUCCUGCUUAUAGUCCUCCAAAUGCUCCUUCCCCUCAUAACCAACCAAAUGUUCCUACUCCUCCAAAAACACCAUCUCCUGCUUAUAGUCCUCCAAAUGCUCCUUCCCCUCAUAACCAACCUCCCUAUGUUCCUACACCUCCAAAAACACCUUCUCCUUCUUAUAAUCCUCCUAAUGUUCCCACUCCUCCCAAAACACCUUCACCUAUUUACACUCCACCAAAUGUUCCUACUCCUCCAAAAACACCAUCUCCUGCUUAUAGUCCUCCAAAUGCUCCUUCCCCUCAUAACCAACCUCCCUAUGUUCCUACACCUCCAAAAACACCUUCUCCUUCUUAUAAUCCUCCUAAUGUUNNN